rnacentral:rRNA from 1 species
AGAGUUUGAUCAUGGCUCAGAACGAACGCUGGCGGCGCGUCUUAAGCAUGCAAGUCGGACGGCAAGGGUAGCAAUACCCCUAGAGUGGCGGACUGGUGAGUAACGCGUGGGUGACCUACCCUUGAGUUGGGGAUAGCCAUUAGAAAUAGUGGAUAAUACCGAAUACGAUCGCGACCCUGUGGGGAUGCGAUGAAAGGAGCUACGGCUCCGCUCGAGGAUGGGCCCGCGUCCCAUUAGCUAGUUGGUGAGGUAACGGCCCACCAAGGCGACGAUGGGUAUCCGGCCUGAGAGGGUGUACGGACACAUUGGGACUGAGAUACGGCCCAAACUCCUACGGGAGGCAGCAGCUAAGAAUAUUCCGCAAUGGACGAAAGUCUGACGGAGCGACGCCGCGUGGAUGAAGAAGGCCGAAAGGUUGUAAAAUCCUUUUGCUGAUGAAGAAUAAGUGUGGUAGGGAAUGACCGCAUGAUGACAUUAGUCGGUGAAUAAGCCCCGGCUAACUACGUGCCAGCAGCCGCGGUAACACGUAGGGGGCAAGCGUUGUUCGGAAUUAUUGGGCGUAAAGGGCAUGUAGGCGGUUUCGUAAGCCUGGUGUGAAAUCCUGCAGCUUAACUGUAGAAUUGCAUUGGGUACUGCGAGACUUGAAUCACAGAGGGGAAACUAGAAUUCCAGGUGUAGGGGUGGAAUCUGUAGAUAUCUGGAAGAAUACCGGUGGCGAAGGCGGGUUUCUAGCUGAUGAUUGACGCUGAGGUGCGAAAGUGCGGGGAGCAAACAGGAUUAGAUACCCUGGUAGUCC